UACCCAGAAGAGUGGCUCAAGUUCACAUUCAGAAUUUAUUUGUUGAAAGAGUAUCUCCACUUUAUCACAAUCGAGCACUUCCAAUUCUUUCAGAAGUGGCCAGCUUGAACUAAACCUUCUAGAGCAAAAUCUUUUGAGUUGGUGUAAACCGGAGAGUGUGAGAGAGGUAAGGUUAGGGAAUGAGAGUAAAGGUGCUGCUUCAUCUUCAUUUUCAUUGGCAACAAUUGCCUCCACUCCACUCUCCGAUAUAUAAAGGUCCUCAAGUUGCACAAGAGCACUCGCCACAGAAACCGGAAAAAGGUUUAGCAAUUUGUUGCAUCCCCUUACUUGCAAUUUCCUUAAUUUGGAAAAUGAAUUUGCUGGAAGUUGGUCAGGCCACAAUGCUCUUAUAUUAUCUAGUCCGCGUACAGACAAGGACUCCAAACCUGGGAGUGCAACCUGUGCAAUUGAUGAUCCCUUUAGUUAAUAAUAUAUACAUAUACAUUCCUAAUAAUUAGACACAUGUAAAUAGAAAAUAAGAGGUUAAAGGAGAAUAUAUCAGUAUAACAAAGCACAAAAUUUAAACUCUAUUCAAGAAGAUCCAGAAAGAGAAAAGAAAACGCCUUUUGAUUUUGAAGAUCCAAUGAAACUUUAAAAAAAAAAAAAAAAACCUCCAAAUUUUGCUUUCCAAAUGAGGUAAUAGGAGGAUAUUUUUAUUUUAUUUUUUCUUUGCCUCUCUUUCAAAUUUGAUUAACUUCCAUGGAAAACGUAUUUUAACUAGCCAUGGAAAAUGGAUUUUUUUUUUAAAACUUUUAUAUAAGAUACAAGAACUCUUAGAGGGUUACAUUAUGUAAGUAAUACUUUAAAAAAAAUGUUUAAAAAUAUUGUGAUAUCCAAAAAUUUUACUACCUCGGAUUUUAAAUUUUAAAAAAAUUAUUUUUAAAGAAAUAAGGUAAAUCUAUACUUUUUCGUAUAAGAUAUUCUACCUUUAUAUACAAAUUUCUGAUUUUUUUUUUAAAGUGUAUCCAAAUGGACACUAAACUAUCUAGUUUCGAAUUUUUACAACUUUGAAUUGGAUUUUAUGGUAAACUAAUUGACAAUAUAACGCAUGGAUUCAUCUUAGAUUCCAUCUAUAAAUUUUUUAAUUAUCUAAUAUAAGACAUUAUAUUAAUGGGUUGAAUUAAUAAUGUAAUUAUAAUUUAUUUGGCAACUUUCUUCCUUCAAAUAUAUAAGACGAAAAUAUAUUUUAAAAAAUAAAAAAGAAUGAUAAAAAAUAGAAAAUAAAAAUAGCUUAUUUUAUUGUUUUUCUAAGAUGAUUUUGUAGAGUGUUAGUUUAUAGUUUAACUUUAUUUCAUUUUACUUUUAACAUUAUUUAUUGAGGUAUGUUCUUUUUUGAAACUCUUGUUUAGAUUUUAUAGAGAAUAUAAAUUUUAAGAAAAAAAAUGAAAUUUAAAUAAAAUAAGAAUAAAGAAAGGCAAAAGGUGGAUGAAUUUUUUGAAGGCAAAAGUUUGAUAAUUUGGCACUGUCAUGUAAUGGGUGAAAUUUUUAAAUACUCAACAAAGGCUAGUGAAAUUUAAAUUAAAACCUUGACAUGUACCUUUUCGACCAAAAUCUUUGGAGUUGGUGUAAAGUUUUGAGUAUGAGAGAGGUUAGUCUAGGGAAUAUUAUUGCACAUUAGUUCAAAUAAAACAUCAACAUUUUUUUUUGUUAAAUUCUAAAUGAACACCACUAUAAAUUAAUGCGAUUUUGUAUGCUCAAUUAAAUAAACUCGUUCUUAAGGCAUCACAUGAAGUGUUUAAGUCUAAUUAAUAUUAAUUAAAAAUGAUUAUAUCAAAAAAAAUCCAAAGUAAUUUUUUUUUAUCAUAAGUCAAGUAGGAUAGUUUUAUAAAUAAUUGGUUCUAGUUUCUAGUAUUAUUGUACACAAUCGCUAUGUUUGUUGCACCUCCAAAAAAUCUACUACUUGUAAUUAAUUGUAUAUUAUUCUCCAUAUUCACAUCAGUUUAUGUAGUAUGAUUAAUUUAGCAACAAAAUAUAAGUUUACUUGAAAUCGCUUUAAAUUCCUAUGAUAUUAAAGUUUAAGAUUAAAACAAUGUAACAUUAGCCAAAAAGACUAAGAUCUAUAAUGUAACAAAUAAAAUUUAGAAAAUUCAAGGCAGGGUAAACUCGCACCUGUUCUACCCAGAAGAGUGGCUCAAGUUCACAUUCAGAAUUUAUUUGUUGAAAGAGUAUCUCCACUUUAUCACAAUCGAGCACUUCCAAUUCUUUCAGAAGUAGCCAGCUUGAACUAAACCUUCUAGAGCAAAAUCUUUUGAGUUGGUGUAAACCGGAGAGUGUGAGAGAGGUAAGGUUAGGGAAUAAGAGUAAAGGUGCUGCUUCAUCUUCAUUUUCAUUGGCAACAAUUGCCUCCACUCCACUCUCCGAUAUAUAUAGGUCCUCAAGUUGCACAAGAGCACUCGCCACAGAAACCCGAAAAAGGUUUAGCAAUUUGUUGAAUCCCCUUACAUGCAAUUUCCUUAAUUUGGAAAAUGAAUUUGUUGGAAGUUGGUCAGGCCACAAUGCUCUUAUAUUAUCCAGUCCGCAUACAUACAAGGACUCCAAGCCUUGGAGUGCAACCUGUGCAAUUGAUAAUCCCUUUGGUUAAUAAUAUAUACAUAUACAUUCCUAAUGAUUAGACACAUGUAAAUAGAAAAUAAGAGGUUAAAGGAGAAUAUAUCAGUAUAACAAAGCACAAAAUUUAAACUAGAUUAAAGAAGAUCAAGAAAGAGAAAAGAAAAGAAAAAGCCUCCAGAUUUUGAAGAUACAAUGAAACUUAAAAAAAAAAAAAAAAAACCUCCAAAUUUUCCUUUCGAAAUGAGGUAAUAAGAGGAUUUUUUUUUUCUUUUUUCUUUGCCUCUCUUUCAAAUUUGAUUAACUUCUAUGGAAAACGUAUUUUAACUAGUUAUGGAAAACGGAUUUUUUUUUUUAAAAACUUUUAUAUAAGAUACAAGUAAUACUUUAAAAAAAUUGUGAUAUCUAAAAAAUUUUUUGAAAAAUUAUUUUUAAAGAAAUAAGGUAAAUCUAUACUUUUUGUAUAAGAUGUUCUACCUUUGUAUUCAAAUUUCUGAUUUUUUUUUUUUAAAGUGUAUCCAAAUGCACACUAAACUAUCUAGUUUUUAAUUGUUACAACUUUGAAUUGGAUUUUAUGGUAAACUAAUUUACAAGUUAAUGCAUAGAUUCAUCUUAGAUUCCAUCUAUAAAUUUUUUUAAUUAUCUAAUAUAAGACAGUAUAUUAAUGGGUUGAAUUAAUAAUGUAAUUAUAAUUUAUUUGGCAACUUUCUUCCUUCAAAUAUAUAAAAUGAAAAUAAAUUUUAAAAAAUAAAAAAUAAAAAAAAGAUUUUUUUUAUAGUUUUUCUAAGAUGAUUUUGUAGAGUUCUGUUAGUUUAUAGUUUUCACUUUAUUUAUUGAGGUAUGUUCUUUUUUGAAACUCUUGUUUAGAUUUUAUUGAGAAUAUAAAUUUUAAGAAAAAAAAUAAAAUUUAAAUAAAAUAAGAAUAAAGAAAGGCAAAAGCUGGAUGAAUUUUUUUAAGGCAAAAGUUUGAUAAUUUGGCACUCUCAUGUAAUGGGUGAAAUUUUUAAAUACUCAACAAAGGCUAGUGAAAUUUAAAUUAAAACCAUGACAUGUACCUUUUAGACCAAAAUCUUUGGAGUUGGUGUAAUGUUUUGAGUAUGAGAGAGGUUAGUCUAGGGAAUAUUAUUGCACAUUAGUUCAAAUAAAACAUCAACAUUUUUUUUUGUUAAAUUCUAAAUGAACACCACUAUAAAUUAAUGCGAUUUUGUAUGCUCAAUUAAAUAAACUCGUUCUUAAGGCAUCACAUGAAGUGUUUAAGUCUAAUUAAUAUUAAUUAAAAAUGAUUAUAGUAAAAAAAAUCCAAAGUAAUUUUUUUUUAUCAUAAGUCAAGUAGGAUAGUUUUAUAAAUAAUUGGUUCUAGUUUCUAGUAUUAUUGUAGACAAUCGCUAUGUUUGUUGCACCUCCAAAAAAUCUACUACUUGUAAUUAAUUGUAUAUUAUUCUCCAUAUUCACAUCAGUUUAUGUAGUAUGAUUAAUUUAGCAACAAAAUAUAAGUUUACUUGAAAUGGCUUUAAAUUCCUAUGAUAUUAAAGUUUAAGAUUAAAACAAUGUAACAUUAGCAAAAAAGAUUAAGAUCUAUAAUGUAACAAAUAAAAUUUAGAAAAUUCAAGGCAGGGUAAACUCGCACCUGUUCUACCCAGAAGAGUGGCUCAAGUUCACAUUCAGAAUUUAUUUGUUGAAAGAGUAUCUCCACUUUAUCACAAUCGAGCACUUCCAAUUCUUUCAGAAGUAGCCAGCUUGAACUAAACCUUCUAGAGCAAAAUCUUUUGAGUUGGUGUAAACCGGAGAGUGUGAGAGAGGUAAGGUUAGGGAAUAAGAGUAAAGGUGCUGCUUCAUCUUCAUUUUCAUUGGCAACAAUUGCCUCCACUCCACUCUCUGAUAUAUAUAGGUCCUCAAGUUGCACAAGAGCACUCGCCACAGAAACCCGAAAAAGGUUUAGCAAUUUGUUGAAUCCCCUUACAUGCAAUUUCCUUAAUUUGGAAAAUGAAUUUGUUGGAAGUUGGUCAGGCCACAAUGCUCUUAUAUUAUCCAGUCCGCAUACAUACAAGGACUCCAAGCCUGGGAGUGCAACCUGUGCAAUUGAUAAUCCCUUUGGUUAAUAAUAUAUACAUAUACAUUCCUAAUAAUUAGACACAUGUAAAUAGAAAAUAAGAGGUUAAAGG
rnacentral:lncRNA from 1 species